CUGUACCGGUGAAGAUGAAUGUUCUGGAGGCUUCAGGAGACCCAGAGGGAGAAAGCAGUGACUACUUAACAGGUCAGAAAUCUUUCAGUAAGGCUCAAUGCUGUCAUCAGAAAGGACGUUUAUAAAAGAAAAAAAAAAUCAGUAAUUUAUUGUGCCAGAUAUUUGUCUCUUUUAAUCCACAGUCAGAUAAUUAUAAUAUAUGAAAUACAUAAUCUAAAGGUAUGAAAUGUUUGAUGUUUAGGAAGGAAGAAAUCUAGGUUAAAGUCUUUUAAGUCAAGCCUGUUUGGGAAGAUAAGGAGGAAAGGGGAUGAUGGUGGUAUGAGUCGGUCUGAAAGUGACAUCACAUGGAGUGUGGAAGACUCAGAGUAAGUGUUCACAGUCUCAACAUGGUUUGAGUCAAGAAAAGCUAAACUCAAAUGUUAUCAUGGACAAAUAAAAAAUUCAUGAAGCCCUUGUGAAAAUAUAAUGUGCUUUAUUGCAUUGAAUGUAGUGUACUUCAAAUCUUAAAAAUAUUACAUUCAAAUUUAAUAUAUUUGAGAUGUACUAAAUUACACUUCAUUUCAAACGUGUAUAUAUAAAAUGUACUUAAGUUCAAUUUAAGUGGGUCAAAAAGCACUCUUAUAUUUAGCUAAUCACAUUUAAUGUAAAUUGAAACAAUAUAUAAUUUCCUUAACAAAUACUCCUUUUUUUUAUAUAUAUAAAGUAAAUAGCCCUCUUUGCAUUUUACUAUCUUUUCUUCAAAGUUGUUCCAAAGGCAUGCUGGGGUCCCGGGCAUUUUCACAUGACAGCAUUUUCAGGCAAAGCACAGUCAUUCAGACCCUGAACCACUGAGAAUUCUGUCUCAUGGCAAAAUUCGAGCUCUGCAGGUGAGUAUUACAAACCACACACUCAAAACACUAAACACACUUAUUAUGGCUAAAAUAUCCCACUUUAUAAACACUCAUCAGUGUGCUUGACGGAAAUGUUUCAAAUAGUUUUAAGAUGAUUUUUUUUUCGGUUGAUCAGAUGAAACUCCAACAGCAGAAGCUGCAUUUAGGUCCUCGCCCACUUCUGUUGCCCAUUAAACGGCGUGAAGACUUAGGUGGAAGUUCAGGAGAUGACGGCCUUCCUUGUAGCCCCUCUGAAGUAUCCAACAGUGAAGAACUAUACAUGAACAUAUCGAACAAGGCCUCUGGCUCAGUGGAUUUUAGCACUCCCCCACAGUUCACUUCCCUCCUGGACAACUCUGCUGCCCGUCACCGUAUGUCCCUCAAGCCUAAGAACCAAAGAGCCAUUGCCAAGAACAAGAGGGUGACCACUUUGGUGAGCCUUUUUAAUGGACCCUUUUACAAAUAGUAUCCAUUAGCAUCACCUUGGUUCCCUCUACAAAAAGCCAAUCUGAUUUUUCCAUUGGCUUUUGAAUUAUUGUAGAAAGUAAGCUCUGCGACCAAUAAGAGUUUGUGAUUGUUACAUGUUUUGUUGUGUAAUAAAAUGUGUAAUUCAUCAGCCUUUAUGAAUUUUAAAGCCUAAAAUCAACUGUCAGAAGUAAAAAGCUAAAGUUAGGCUAUAAACAGUGCACAACCUCAGUGUCAACACGUUUAAUCUUCUGACAACUCUAUACAAAUUGGAACGUUUGAAAUAGAAUAGUUAGAAAAAUAAACACAACGAUGCUGUUAAAGUGGACUAGAUAGUAGAUAAGUUUACCUGCUUGGAGUGAUGUUCAAUGUUCUCAACAAAAUCUGUAGUCCCAUUUAGCCACUUAUUAGCAACUUUAUUUUUCAAGACAUGUAAAUACUUAAAAAAAAAAAAAAAAACAAUUAGAGUAGGGUGGGUUACUUAGUGUAAAUACUUAAAAAAUAAAAAAAAAAAAAAAACACAUGAGUGGGGUGUUACUGACGUAUUUUAAUGUUGAAGAAUAAAAUGUCAAAAUAUCAUGAACUUCAUAGACAAUAUUUCAUAGUCAACCAUAGACCUUAUUUCAGGCAUUUACCCCAAAAACCCAUCGAUUUGAGGACCAGAAGUUCAAAAAUGGUAAUUUCUGGGUUUUAAGACACUUUAUUGCUUUUGGAAAAACAGAACUUUUAAAUAUUCUUUUCCAUAUAACAGUUCAUAUUUAAUAGAUUUUGUACAUUGCACUUCCUGUGUAGGCUGGAAGCAGAGCACGAUCUGAGAGUUUAAACAAUCUGGAUCAAUCACUGACUACUACGGAGGAAGAGACUACUACGGAGGAAGAGACUCUUGUAAAAGAGAUACCUCGCGCUCGCUCGUAUUCCUCGCAGGUCUUACGGGGGGAGAGGCUAACAACUUUACAAAUCAACAGUC
rnacentral:lncRNA from 1 species